rnacentral:lncRNA from 1 species
UGGAUCUUAGAAUCACCCUCGUUUCCUCCAAAUCAGGGAUUCCCUUGCGGGAUUUAGCCCUAAAUCGCACAACGACGAUGAAAAUUAAACUCGCGAUGGAGCAAUGAAAGAAAGGUAGUUGAAGCUUUCUGUCGCCCGCAGUGAGAUCGGAGGAAAGGCUUCUUUUCGCUCGUUGAGGUUGAACGUGAUCUGUCGCUCACAGGAUCAGA